UUGAACGCUGGCGGCAUGCCUUACACAUGCAAGUCGAACGGCAGCACGGGGGCAACCCUGGUGGCGAGUGGCGAACGGGUGAGUAAUACAUCGGAACGUGUCCUGUAGUGGGGGAUAGCCCGGCGAAAGCCGGAUUAAUACCGCAUACGAUCUACGGAAGAAAGCGGGGGACCGAAAGGCCUCGCGCUAUAGGGGCGGCCGAUGGCAGAUUAGCUAGUUGGUGGGGUAAAGGCCUACCAAGGCGACGAUCUGUAGCUG
rnacentral:rRNA from 12 species